rnacentral:rRNA from 2 species
UAAUGACUCUCGGCAACGGAUAUCUCGGCUCUCGCAUCGAUGAAGAACGUAGCGAAAUGCGAUACUUGGUGUGAAUUGCAGAAUCCCGUGAACCAUCGAGUCUUUGAACGCAAGUUGCGCCCCAAGCUGUUAGGCUGAGGGCACGCCUGCCUGGGUGUCACG